rnacentral:piRNA from 1 species
UAUUCCUUUUGCUGACAAGUG